rnacentral:lncRNA from 1 species
UUCUUGGUAUAAUCAGUACCCAUACCCUCAGCCGAUCCUCAGCUCCUUUUAGUGUCCAACAAUGGCGUGGUCCUUGGCUGCUUGCUUAUUUAUAUUUGUACUCCUCCUGGCGCUCAAAACCCCCGGGUAAAGAAUGAUUCUCUGAUUGAUUGAUUGAUUUUUUUUUUAUUUUGGGUUCUUUCUACUAGGACUACUUCAAGUCAUCGGAAUUGUCCCCACAAGCCUCAAGUGGUGGGGUGAGGAGCAGAGGAAGUGUCGAUUACUUGGGACGGAGCUUCUGAAAAAAUGAAGCUCUCAGUAUUAAUAGUGGGGACGGUUUGUUGUUUAAUCAAAAUGUUAGGAUGCAGACAACUAGGCCCGCUUCCCUUGUUUUAUCUCAUCCUAAACAGUAAACACCACAUACUUCAGUUCUAUCUUCCGUGUCUCGAUAUAUGUGUUAUCAUGCGUUUAUAGUACCACAAGUACAACUUGUUUGCUCUUUUAUUGCUCUGAUAUCUAGAUUCUGUUAUUUACAGAGGGAAUGUGAAAAAAAUGUAUUUUUUAAGAAUCUUUUGCGGUGGUUGUUCCUGUAUAGUAUUUUGUGAUUUUGCCUCAGAAAAAGGAAGACAAUGGUGCUAGAUUGUGGAGGAGAUGAGUCCAGAACUAUUAAACAGAAAAAGAAAAAAAUGAAAAAGAUGCUAAAGUACCCAGAUACAGAUAUUAACUUCUACUGGUACGUGAGACUGAAUAAUCCUUAUGUUUGCGAUUUGGACAGGGGACACUUGACUCUGGAUUUUGGUGGUUCCAGGGCUCACUUUCAUUAUUGGCAAAGUGUAUGAAAUUUGCAUAAUUUUUGUUUACAUAGGAAGGUGGCUGUUUGCUGUUAGAGAGUUUGGUCAUUUUUUAUGAUUACAAAUGUGAUGCACAAGUAUUGACAGAUUGAUACAAGGCGAACCUUUUGUAGAAUUAUUUUUACACUAACAUCACAUCCACAUUGCAGAUUCAAGUCGUCAAUCUGGAAUCAUAUCUCUAGCUAUUAAUUGGUCACAUAAUUGCUGUUUGUAAGUUGUAACAUAAGAUUGAACUCGGAAGCCUGACAUGCUACUUUAGCACUUGGCAAAUAUUCCUCAUUUAUAAUGGUUGAAAGUAUAAUGACUUUCAUAGUUUUUCACUCUACAUUUCCUUCAAGCUCUUUUUAGAACCCCCUCCCCCCCGCCUCUCCAUCCCUUUUAACAGCAUUCGCUAUUAGAUGCAACUUGCAUUUCAGAUAUUUAAUGCCAAUGAUCAUUCGUAAAUGUAUUAAGACUCAGUUCUGUGUCUUGUAUUCCUCCAAGAAUGUGCUUUUUUCAAUAAAAUUAAAUGUAGAAGAAAUGGAAGGAAUAAAUGAAUUCAAGUGUCCUCUCUAAAACUUCUACUCUGGGAGAUUUUUGUGUAUUCAUUCUACAUUGUUUCUCUGAUUAGUAGCACAAAUUAACACUAUUACCUUGUGAAGGAAAAGCAACAUGAUUAUGCUGGUCAAGUAUAUUCUGCUCCCACAUUGAGCAAUGAGGAAAAGGAAGUUGCUUGUGGGAGUUUGAUGAUGAAAUUUGAUCACAUUACUCAAAACUGAUAUCUUAGUUUCAUUUUGCGAUGUUGAGAUUAUAUGAUAAAGUUAGACAACUGCAAUGUUACUCAUCUUUCACCCUAUAAUCUUGUUUCAUCAAAUUUCUAGAAUUUCUAUCAACUUCUUUAAUGACUUGGAGUUGAUUUUCUCUUUCAUGUGUUGAUGUCUCUCUAUCUUCUCAUUUUGAAGCUAAAUGGUUUGUUCAGUUUUUAUUAUGAGAUUCUUUUUUCAUUAGAGGUUCUUGCUAAAUUACUAAAGAAGAAAACUGAACUUAAUUUUUGGCUGUAAGGUUAAUAUGAUUGUUCAUUUUAUCUAUAGUAAUCCAUCUCUUUACCUAUUUAUAGUAAAUCCUAGCUGUAUAAUUCCAAAUACUAUGUUGUUCCACAUGACUAAUUAAAUGCAAAUUGGUCAAUAAGAGACUAACUUGCAUGGGAUACUUCAGUUAACUCUCUGGAUAUCUGGAUGACUUAAUGUGCGGGAAGUUACUUGCCUACAACAAAGGAAUGACGAGGUGAGAUGGGAUAAGUCACCAUCAGAUGUUGUAUAUGUUAUUGAAAAAGAUAUUUUGUAAAUUUAAUUGCUCCUGGCUAUGAUUGCAUACUAGUGGUCAAUUCUGCUGAAGCUACCGGAAUAUUGUGGGACUAUAAAACUCAUUGAUGAGCUUUGACCUUGAGUAUAUGUCUUUGAUCUUGGUGGUAAACUAACAAAAGUUCCUCGGAAAUAAUAUUGUUCAUGUCAAUGCUUGUGAAUUGGGAUUCAUAGGGUCAUGCUGCUAUAAGUAAGAAAUAGAUUUUUACUUAUUUCUUCGCGAAGCACUAGGCUUAUGUAUUAUUAUCCCCUUCCCUCCUCUAUCACAUCCAGUCAAUGUGUUUUAAGAUUUUUGUAUUUUAAGAUGGUUGGUGACAACAUAUGUUCAAUUGGUGAUGCAAUUUCAUGAAUUUAUCUGAUAAUUGUCUACUAAUAAUAUACUUCGUAUACGUUAACUACAAAUGAGAGAAAGUCAAUUGUUAAAUUCUUACUUCAUUUUGAUGUUAUGGCAUGCCGUCUUGCCUUGUUGUUGUGCUAUCUCUCAUCAAUGGUUGAUGCUUUUAUCAGUUCUCUUUUCUUUCCUUUGAAGUCAUUUAUGUCCAUCCAAUACCUAAUCAUUUUUAGAGAUCAAAUCAUAUGACAUGUUUGACAUGCUAGAGAGUGGUUUCAAUUAGACUCUGUAUGUUAUCAUGAUUCAGACAUUGCUUGUAGCAGUAAUGAAUACUUGAUGUGAAGCACAUGACUAAUCCAAAUUAUUCUGAAAUACCUAAUGGCCAACAAUUGUUGGAUUCUAGCCUAAUUCUGGCUCAUGAUUAUGUUAAAAUUCUCUCUCUCUUCCUUUCUGUACUUCUGAGUAUUGUCAAUUGAAAAUAUUUGUGGGGGGACUUGUGAAGAAGAAAGAUCAAGUUGCUGCAACUUUUUAGACUUUACCCAUUAUUUGACCCCUUUUCUCCUUUGUUAUUGAGUUAAAGUACUACCCCUCAGUGUCGGAGAAAAACUUAGAAAGCUCCAAUUCUACGCAUACUCUAGCAGAUAGGAGGAAGUUCUUUUCCUGUCUUCUUUUUGCUUUUGUUCUACAUAACGCCUCUAUCUGCUAAGUUUUAGGAUUCAUAUUCACUUCCCAUUUCCUCUUUUUUUUCCAUUUUAGUAUUUUAAGAUUCUGCACGCAAGUAUUUUAUGGAAUUAAUUCUUUAAUUUGUUAACUAGUUAAAAAAGAUGAAGUGCUGGGAAACCAUGGAGAACAUAUUCUCAAAACCAUAAUGCAACGUGGUGAAUUGUUAUCGACAAUCAUAUGUUCUGUUGGAUGGCAUUUUCUGGUGCAAUUUAGACUGAAGAGUCAUUAAAGUAAUUAAAGAGUAAAUUUGCAUGACUUUAGAAAAGUAACCAAUAAAGAAAAAAUUUUGACAAAGAGUUCUGGACAGAAUAAAGUAUAGGGAAUAGAAUAAACUAGGAAAGUAAGCUGCCAAUAUGCUUGCAAAUUCUAAUAGAUUCAGGGUUGAAGUGUCGUUUUGAGUCAGAAUGUCUGUUUCAAUCAACAGGUCUACCCCAAAUUAAAGCGAGAAGAAAGCUAUUCUCUGCUAACAGGGAUGCAUUUCACUAGCCAGCCAAUUGGCCAUGAUAAUGCAGCAAUCGU